rnacentral:rRNA from 1 species
GUCUAUGGCCAUGAACAAGCCCGAUCCUGUCUGAUCUCGGAACCUAAGGGUCGAGCCUGGUUAGUACUUGGAUGGGAGACCACCUAGGAAGACCAGGUGCUUUAGGAG